rnacentral:lncRNA from 1 species
GUAGCUUCCUUGUCGUGUGGCCUCAGUCCUUCGCCGUCCCUCGCCGUCCUUCGCCAUCGCACGCCACCGCACCCCAUCUCUCGAAAUCUGCAGACAUCUUGAUUUUUCCCACGCUGUCUGUCAGGUCUCCGCCGCCACUCGACGCCAGGGCGCCGGGCCUUGUGGGCUGUGCUGCACCUCGGACGGCUUCGCACCAGCCAGCGCCCUCUCUCUCCUGCAGCACUCUGAUCUGCACCCCCUGAGGGGCUUCCACUGUCCGCGGGGAGUGUCACAUGACUGCCGCCCCAUGUGUGUGAGAGGCGUCCUCUGGGAGAGCAUGGAUCCUGAGGUCCCAGGAUUGUCAGCUGACCUCUGUCCUGUGUGCCCAGUGGCCCCAGGUGACGUGUCUUCAAGAAGAGGCUGAGCUGCGGUGCUUGUAAGGUCUCAGCCUUAGAUCCAAGGACAGUCCAAGGAAGUCCUAAGACCAUGGAGUUGGUGAUCUGGGAUCUGGGUUUGCUGAUAUUUCUCACCGUGAAUCUCUUGGUGGUGUUUGUGGGCACGAGAGGGGCAGAGAAUGGAGAGUGAGGCUACCACAUGAAGCGUCACCAGAGCUGCUCCCUGCUGCCUGCUCAGAGCACCCCGGAUCCACUGUUCAAUCUGCACAAGAUUCGGGGUCCAGACAUGGGAGACUUCAGCUGCCUCAGAGGACCGUGGACAGGGAAGGCCAGCCUCGCAUCCCUCUGUCCAUGCCUGGAAUGACUUUAAUAACCAAGAGUUUUAUUUUUGAAUUUGUAGCUGUCGUUCACUUUUUACCCACCCAUUCAAUAAACCUUACAGAAUUGCUC